rnacentral:rRNA from 1 species
UACAGAGGUCUCAAGCGUUGUUCGGAUUCAUUGGGCGUAAAGGGUGCGUAGGUGGCGCCAUAAGUCGGGUGUGAAAUCUCGGGGCUUAACUCCGAAACUGCAUUCGAUACUGGCGUGCUUGAGGACUGGAGAGGAGACUGGAAUUCAUGGUGUAGCAGUGAAAUGCGUAGAGAUCAUGAGGAAGACCAGUGGCGAAGGCGGGUCUCUGGACAGUUCCUGACACUGAGGCACGAAAGCGUGGGGAGCAAACAGG